rnacentral:rRNA from 1 species
AUUGAACGCUGGCGGCAUGCUUUACACAUGCAAGUCGAACGGCAGCGCGGGCUUCGGCCUGGCGGCGAGUGGCGAACGGGUGAGUAAUGCAUCGGAACGUGCCCAGUAGUGGGGGAUAGCCCGGCGAAAGCCGGAUUAAUACCGCAUACGACCUGAGGGUGAAAGCGGGGGACCGAAAGGCCUCGCGCUAUUUGAGCGGCCGAUGUCGGAUUGGCUAGUUGGUGGGGGAAAGGCUUACCAAGGCGACGAUCCGUAGCUGGUCUGAGAGGACGACCAGCCACACUGGGACUGAGACACGGCCCAGACUCCUACGGGAGGCAGCAGUGGGGAAUUUUGGACAAUGGGGGCAACCCUGAUCCAGCCAUGCCGCGUGCGGGAAGAAGGCCUUCGGGUUGUAAACCGCUUUUGUUCGGGAAGAAAUCCUCUGGGCUAAUACCCCGGGGGGAUGACGGUACCGGAAGAAUAAGCACCGGCUAACUACGUG